GAUGAACGCUGACAGAAUGCUUAACACAUGCAAGUCAACUUGAAUUUGGGUUUUUAACUUAGAUUUGGGUGGCGGACGGGUGAGUAACGCGUAAAGAACUUGCCUCACAGCUAGGGACAACAUUUAGAAAUGAAUGCUAAUACCUGAUAUUAUGAUUUUAAGGCAUCUAGAAUUAUGAAGCUAUAAGCACUGUGAGAGAGCUAUGCGUCCCAUUAGCUAGUUGGAGAGGUAACAGCUCACCAAGGCGAUGAUGGGUAGCCGGCCUGAGAGGGUGAACGGCCACAAGGGGACUGAGACACGGCCCUUACUCCUACGGGAGGCAGCAGUGGGGAAUAUUGGACAAUGGACCGAGAGUCUGAUCCAGCAAUUCUGUGUGCACGAUGAAGUUUUUCGGAAUGUAAAGUGCUUUCAGUUGGGAAGAAAGAAAUGACGGUACCAACAGAAGAAGUGACGGCUAAAUACGUGCCAGCAGCCGCGGUAAUACGUAUGUCACAAGCGUUAUCCGGAUUUAUUGGGCGUAAAGCGCGUCUAGGUGGUUAUGUAAGUCUGAUGUGAAAAUGCAGGGCUCAACUCUGUAUUGCGUUGGAAACUGUAUAACUAGAGUACUGGAGAGGUAAGCGGAACUACAAGUGUAGAGGUGAAAUUCGUAGAUAUUUGUAGGAAUGCCGAUGGGGAAGCCAGCUUACUGGACAGAUACUGACGCUAAAGCGCGAAAGCGUGGGUAGCAAACAGG
rnacentral:rRNA from 1 species